rnacentral:rRNA from 1 species
AUUGAACGCUGGCGGCAGGCCUAACACAUGCAAGUCGAACGGUAACAGGAAGAAGCUUGCUUCUUUGCUGACGAGUGGCGGACGGGUGAGUAAUGUCUGGGAAACUGCCUGAUGGAGGGGGAUAACUACUGGAAACGGUAGCUAAUACCGCAUAACGUCGCAAGACCAAAAAGGGGGACCUUCGGGCCUCUUCCCAUCGGAUGUGCCCAGAUGGGAUUAGCUAGUAGGUGGGGUAACGGCUCACCUAGGCGACGAUCCCUAGCUGGUCUGAGAGGAUGACCAGCCACACUGGAACUGAGACACGGUCCAGACUCCUACGGGAGGCAGCAGUGGGGAAUAUUGCACAAUGGGCGCAAGCCUGAUGCAGCCAUGCCGCGUGUAUGAAGAAGGCCUUCGGGUUGUAAAGUACUUUCAGCGGGGAGGAAGUGAGUAAAGUUAAUACCUUUGCUCAUUGACGUUACCCGCAGAAGAAGCACCGGCUAACUCCGUG